rnacentral:rRNA from 1 species
GACGAACGCUGGCGGCGUGGCCUAACACAUGCAAGUCGAGCGGACUUAUGCAAAGCACUAAUAGCUCACAAACGAUGAGAUAUUAGUGCUUUGCAGAAAGUUAGCGGCGGACGGGUGAGUAACGCGUGAGUAACCUGCCUUUCAGCGGGGAAUAACGUUCCGAAAGGAACGCUAAUACCGCAUAACGUAUAUCUGCGGCAUCGUAGAUAUACCAAAGAUUUAUCACUGAAGAUGGACUCGCGUCUGAUUAGCUAGUUGGUAGGGUAACGGCCUACCAAGGCGACGAUCAGUAGCCGAACUGAGAGGUUGAUCGGCCACAUUGGGACUGAGACACGGCCCAGACUCCUACGGGAGGCAGCAGUGGGGAAGUAUUGCGCAAUGGGGGAAACCCGUGACGCAGCAACGCCGCGUGAAGGAAGAAGGUCUCGGAUCGUAAACUUUUGUCUUUGGGGUACGAGUAAUGACGGUACCCCAAGGAGGAAGCCACGGCUAACUACGUGCC